GACAAGGAACAGUCAGUGCCCAGCGGAGCUCCCUGCAGGAAACAUCAAGGAGAGAGGUCUAAACUCAGUGUGACAGAAAAUACUUGAUCUUCUCUCAGGCACAGCUGUACUAGUAGGAUAGAAAGCCACAUGACUAGAAUUCCAUAGAAGCCCAACAGGAGCACUGAGGUUAAAGUGCAGUAUAUGUGCAGCAUAUGCAUGUGUGUUUGGAAUUGAUCAGAAAAUGCUCUGCAGCUGGAUGACUUCAGCGCCACUGAAGCUGUGUAUAACAAAACAACAGAAAAGGAGUCAGGGAGGAGAAAAGAACAAUAACGUGGAGAAACUCAUCCUUUUUUCUUCUACCUCUGAGUGGGGGUUGGUGUCUCUCUAGGAAUCAAGGUGCUCGAGUUCCCUUGAGGCAAAAGAGAAUAAAUUGCCAGUAGCAGACAAGGUGAAUGCAAUUGUGUAUAAGGUGGGUGAAUAGAAGAAUCUCUUUGUGAUUGCUUUCAAAACCAUCAAGGGGGUCUGAAAUAGGGCAGCCAAAGGGUAUAUUUUUCACUUUACAUAAUUUUUUUUGUGGCUGUGUAAUUUUCAUGUAAAAUUUAUAAUGUUGUAUGUUCAAAAUAGAUGAUGAAACCUGCUUUGCAAAUUACAAUGCGUCUAUCAUUAGAUACUAUGAUUCACUGUGUUACUACGAUUCACUUAGCUCAAUUCUUAAGGAAAAUCAUAGGCAGUGAUUUGGAAAAGCUCCCCCUCUACAGCAGAAACACAAUAAUUUCUUUCCAAGUAAGAGCUGUUAAAUAUGUAGCCAAUGCAUCAUUUGCAUAUUAAUAGUGAAAGUAUUCUGAUAAAUUACAGUUUUCUGUCUUUUUAAAUCACGCAUAUAGCUCUUGAAUGUUGUAUAAUAUUAUCACUGGAUCAUAGAGAUUUUCAGCUUUAUCUAAUAUAAUUUGUUAUAAGC